GCGAGGGCGGGGCCAGGCGGUGGCCUGGAAGCCCGGAGCCUCAGCGCUCGCCCCUGCUCGCCAGGUGCUGCCCCCUCGGAGAGCCACAGUCUCGGAGCUGACGGACCUGGGGAGCGUGAGGCGGAGCCGAGCCUGGAGUCCCCAGCAACUGGUUCUGGGUUCGAGGCUUGGACAGGCCGGCACCCCAGCCCGGCACCCGCGGUGUAGUUGUCCGCGACGUCAACCCGUGGUGCCUAAGUGUCUAGAGAGCUGAGUGGGUUGCCUCGGAUCGGCCAGGCCUGGAUAUCAGCGAACAGAUGCGGAUUUCCACCAGGGGGCGCUAGGACGCCACGACCUUUCACUAUGUGCACCAGGGGGCGCUGCCGCCCGCCUUGGCCAUCCCGGGCUGGGAAGUCCGACCCUUCGAUUAAGCCCCGCCUGAUUGGGAAAGGCUCUGAGAAACUAUUUGCAUGAUCUUGAAAGAGCUGUGCUGAAUGGUUGAGGAGUUGGAGAUGUGCACCUAAAGGAGGCGCAUCUGGGGACGGACACAUCUGGCACUGAGGCCCUCGCCACCUGCCUCGCCACCUGGCGACCCUGACCCCACCACACUGCCU
rnacentral:lncRNA from 10 species